rnacentral:rRNA from 1 species
GAGUUUGAUCAUGGCUCAGAUUGAACGCUGGCGGCAUGCCUUACACAUGCAAGUCGAACGGCAGCAUGAUCUAGCUUGCUAGAUUGAUGGCGAGUGGCGAACGGGUGAGUAAUACAUCGGAACGUGCCCUGUAGAGGGGGAUAACUAGUCGAAAGAUUAGCUAAUACCGCAUACGACCUGAGGGUGAAAGUGGGGGACCGCAAGGCCUCAUGCUAUAGGAGCGGCCGAUGUCUGAUUAGCUAGUUGGUGGGGUAAAGGCCCACCAAGGCGACGAUCAGUAGCUGGUCUGAGAGGACGAUCAGCCACACUGGGACUGAGACACGGCCCAGACUCCUACGGGAGGCAGCAGUGGGGAAUUUUGGACAAUGGGCGAAAGCCUGAUCCAGCAAUGCCGCGUGUGUGAAGAAGGCCU